rnacentral:sRNA from 1 species
UAAAUCCAAAAGCCUCUGCAUCCUUAUGA